rnacentral:rRNA from 1 species
UACAGAGGGGGCAAGCGUUGUUCGGAAUUACUGGGCGUAAAGGGCGCGUAGGCGGCCUUCUAAGUCGGACGUGAAAUCCCUCGGCUUAACCGAGGAACUGCGUCCGAUACUGAAAGGCUUGAAUCCGGGAGAGGGAUGUGGAAUUCCAGGUGUAGCGGUGAAAUGCGUAGAUAUCUGGAGGAACACCGGUGGCGAAGGCGGCAUCCUGGACCGGCAUUGACGCUGAGGCGCGAAAGCUAGGGGAGCAAACGGG